rnacentral:lncRNA from 1 species
AUUGUGUUUUCUUCUAGGAAAAUUCCACAGGUAAUGUUUUGGUAUAUAAUCAAUAACAAUGCAAGUAGUGGAAAUCUUCAAAUAACCAGAUAUUUUCUUUAUUCUCAGAUUUGAGGAAAACAAUCAACUCGAUGAAGAGGAAGGAGGAAGAGAAGCUGAACACCUAGGAAAAAACAGAGAAACAAAAACCAGCCUCUUAGUACUUCCUGUUGACGUUGGUGGGGGCCAGCCCAGCUUCCCACAUGAUCGCAUCUUCUUGUAACUCUCUUAUUGUACAACUUGAGACACCGAGAUCCUCAGCUAGCCAGGAGAAGCUGGGCUCUGUGAGAAGCGAGUGGCCAUAUAUUAAAGAGGACUCUUUGAGGGGCAGCCGCGUAAACUCCUUGUAAACAUCACUGGAAAUGAAAACCAGAACGAGGCUGCUUCAUGAAUCACCAGCACCCAGAUGUGGCAAAGUUAACCAGAGGACUUUCUUGUUCUGAUUUCCAGAUGACUUACAAAAAACAUUUUUCUCAUUGGAGUGCAUGGU